rnacentral:tRNA from 1 species
UCCUAUUUGGCUCAGUGGAUAGAGCAUUGGCCUGGGGACCAAAGGUACCGGGUUCAAUUCUGGUAAAAGGGC